UACAGAGGGUGCAAGCGUUAAUCGGAAUUACUGGGCGUAAAGGGCGCGUAGGCGGUUUGAUAAGUUAGAGGUGAAAUCCCCGGGCUUAACCUGGGAACGGCCUUUAAGACUGUGAGACUAGAGUAGAGUAGAGGGGAGUGGAAUUUCCGGUGUAGCGGUGAAAUGCGUAGAUAUCGGAAAGAACACCAGUGGCAAAGGCGGCUCCCUGGGCUCAUACUGACGUUGAGGCGCGAAAGCGUGGGUAGCAAACAGG
rnacentral:rRNA from 1 species